CACUAAGUGGGAGGUAAACUCCUUCUAAAGCUAAAUAUCGCCAUGAGACCGAUAGAAGACAAGUACCGUGAGGGAAAGUUGAAAAGCACUCUGAAUAGAGAGUCAAAUAGUACGUGAAACUGCCUAGGGGACGCAAACCUGUUGAACUCAAUGAUCCGAGCGGCGAUAUUCAGUGGUGGUCGACUCCUGACCGGGUCGGCUGCCGUGCACUUAUCGGUCCGCAGUAACGGACAUCGCGAUCCAUUACAAUGGUGUAUUCGGGCAAUGGCCCCUGACUCGUGGUAGGCGGCUCUUCAGUAAGGUGGCUCGGCGGCCAUCCUGAGCAGGAGUCUCCGCGACCUUCUAACCGAGGGGCGCAGGGCCCGACCGAGUCUGGUGUGCCGCUGGAAGUGUGAUGGAUUGGUAUGAGCGGGGUGUCGAGUGAGUGGUCUUUAGCCGGAGACCCGAUAAACACUCGCCCUCGAUCGGUGAUGACGCAUUAUGCAUUGAGGAACCUUCGGGA
rnacentral:rRNA from 1 species